rnacentral:rRNA from 1 species
UCGUGCGAGAAGGAGACUUCGGUCUCUGAGUAGAGCGGCGCACGGGUGAGUAACGCGUGGAUGAUCUACCCUUGAGUUCGGGAUAACGGUGCGAAAGCGCCGCUAAUACCGUAUAACAAUCCAUUUCAUCGUGGGUUCAAAGCAGGCCUCUUCAUGAAAGCUUGCGCUUGGGGAUGAGUCCGCGUCCCAUUAGCUUGUUGGCGGGGUAACGGCCCACCAAGGCUACGAUGGGUAGCUGGUCUGAGAGGAUGAUCAGCCACACUGGAACUGAAACACGGUCCAGACUCCUACGGGAGGCAGCAGUGGGGAAUAUUGCGCAAUGGGGGAAACCCUGACGCAGCGACGUCGUGUGAGGGAAGAAGGCCUUCGGGUCGUAAACCUCUGUCAGAAGGGAAGAACAUCCGGGAGUCGAACAGCCUCCCGGCCUGACGGUACCUUCAGAGGAAGCGCCGGCUAACUCCGUGCCAGCAGCCGCGGUAAUACGGAGGGCGCAAGCGUUAAUCGGAAUCACUGGGCGUAAAGCGUGCGUAGGCUGUUUGAUAAGUCAGACGUGAAAUCCCUCGGCUCAACCGGGGAACUGCGUUUGAUACUGUUGAACUAGAGUCCUGGAGAGGGUGGCGGAAUUCCUGGUGUAGGAGUGAAAUCCGUAGAUAUCAGGAGGAACACCGGUGGCGAAGGCGGCCACCUGGACAGGUACUGACGCUGAGGUACGAAAGCGUGGGGAGCAAAC